AUGGGGACAACAAAAACCGAAGUAACAUCACCACCACGUUUUGCUGCCAUUGCAACAAAGUUCAUCAAUAAUGAAGCAAAAGUAAUCACAACUGACAUCGACGAAAAACAUGGCCAAAAGAAUGUGAAAGAACUAGGAUCUAAUGCAACUUUCAUAACUUUCAACGUCAUGGAAGAAUCAGACAUAUCUGAUUUCAUCGAUUUUGCCGUUUCUAAAUACAAACAACUUGAUAUCAUGUACAACAAUGCACCUACCCAGCAAAACUCCAAGCAUAGAAAUUGUUCGUAA
rnacentral:lncRNA from 1 species